GACGAACGCUGGCGGCGUGCUUAACACAUGCAAGUCGAACGGGAUUUAGUAGACAGAAGCCUCGGCUAAAGAUUACUAAUGAGAGUGGCGAACGGGUGAGUAACGCGUGAGCAACCUGCCUAUGACAGUGGGAUAGCCUCGGGAAACCGGGAUUAAUACCGCAUAAAAUCGUAGAAACACAUGUUUCAACGGUCAAAGAUUUAUCGGUCAUAGAUGGGCUCGCGUCUGAUUAGCUAGUUGGUGAGAUAACAGCCCACCAAGGCGACGAUCAGUAGCCGGUCUGAGAGGAUGAACGGCCACAUUGGAACUGAGACACGGUCCAAACUCCUACGGGAGGCAGCAGUGGGGAAUAUUGCACAAUGGGGGAAACACUGAUGCAGCGACGCCGCGUGAACGAAGAAGGUAUUCGUAUCGUAAAGUUCUGUCCUAUGGGAAGAUAAUGACAGUACCAUAGAAGAAAGCUCCGGCUAAAUACGUG
rnacentral:rRNA from 1 species